GACCUGAGCUCAGGCAAGAUUA
rnacentral:rRNA from 1 species